ACACAUGCACACACAUGCACGCACGCGCGCACACACACACACACACACAGAUGGAGGGAUGUGAAACUGUCGACACUCGCAGAAAGUUUCUCCACAGAGCCGAAUGUGAAACGGUUUGACCUCCAGACGCAGCUUCAGCGGAGUGAAGCUGCGUCUGCUGAAGCCUCCGGGAGGGAAACAUCCUGCUGUUACGUAACGGCUGUUCUUCUUGACGGACAGGCGCUCACGGUGACAGCGGGAAGGUCUGAGUAAAGAGGCCAUGAGGCGGCUUCAGCUGAUCCAGAACACCUCAAAGAGCCGGAACCUGGACCACAAUGGGGCCGGUCCUCAGAACACCAGGGUUUUAAAGCCCUGAAGGGUCCUGGACCAGACCACAGACCACACUGAUCUCCUCCCUGUUGCCUCUGCUUUUCUAAACUUUUAUUUUCUUAAUUUCUUUUCUUUAAUGUCUCUGAUUUGAAUGUAAUUGUGUGUUUCUUUUAUCUGAAGCAGUCUGACUCGCCUCGCCUCGCCGUCUUCCUGCACUAAUGACAAUAACCAAUAACCAGCUGGUUAGAAACAUGACAUUCAGCAGGAACACGUCACACUGAACCCGAACCAGUCCGGUCUCUUCACCGCCAACAGACUCUUCAUCACGCUGUGAAACUGACAGAAUCUUCAUCACGCUGUGAAACUGACAGACUCUUCAUCAUCACACUGUGAAACACAGAGCAUAUGCAUCUGGCUUUUUAGGGGAAAGAAACACUGAUCCACUGCACUGGGCGCUGUGGGGGUGAGGCCCGGACCUCCUCUCCUCAGGCAGACCUCGGCUGUGAUCCAGGUCAGAGGUCAGAGGUCAUCGGGGGAGCUCAGCUCCUUCCUGUCCUCCUUCCUGAAGGCCUCAGAGCUCCACCACCGGCGGAGCACAGCCUCCACCCAGCAGCACACAACACAACUGGAUUCACUGCCUGUGCGUCUGCAGUGGUUAGCACUGUCAGCUCCCAGAGAGGUCAUGGGUUAGAACCCGGGUCAGGCCUGUCUGCUGUCCUCAGUGGUGUGUGUGUGUGUGUGUGUGUGUGUGUGUGUGUGUGUGUGUGUGUGUGUGUGUGUGUGUGUGUGUGGACAGUCUGUGCAGAUGUACUGCCCCCUGCUGGAGGGGAAAUGCUUCAGCAGGAAGCUGAAACUGGAGUUCCACAGUGAAGCUUCACAGAAGCCUGAGAAAAGACUCAAACUGUGACCUGGUCCUGAGUCUGAGUCAUCCAGGACAUCCAGCUCACGUCUGGUAUUAUCUGUGCUUUGUUUUAUCUCGUCAAACCCAGCUGUGUUUCCUCAGUUAAAGAAUUCAACACCCUUUUUAAUCUUUGAUUAGUAGAAGGUAAAUGUUGGAGAUUGACGUGUGUUUAUUUUUCACAUUCACAUUUAUAUAUUGUUCAUAUCAGGUUAAUGUUCUUCUCAGUAAAAGAAAUAGCAGGAGAUUUGUUUUGACUGAGUAUCUUAUCUAAAGUGAUUAGUUGUGAUCUUCCCUCCUCUGAUAAUCUAUCAGGGUUUAUUUGAGACAGAUAAGUUGUGGCUGUGAUUAACUUUUCCUCUUCAGCUGCAGAUUAUCUUUCAUAAUCUUUCACCACAUUUCCUUUCAGUUCCAAGAUAAUUGCAGACAGUUUUUCUCCCUGCUUCGGCUGAGCAGAGACAAACAUCGGCCCGCAGCUAUGUAACAGCGCCAUGUGAGAACUAUGUAACGACUGGAACGUCAACAUUCAAGAACUUUAGGAGGCAGACUGCCACGUUACACUGCGUUAUUGACACGAGCUUUCUGGUUUUGUUUCAUGUUGAAGAGACGCUUUGCUUGAAUUCACAGAAUUUGAACAGAAAACAUUAAUUUGAAAGAUAUAAUAUGAUCAAUUUACUCCUUGUUUGAACCAAAUUUUAGAUCAAAAUGUGUAAAAAAGAAACCUCACUUUAUGAAUUUAAUUACAUACAUCAGACAAUACAUCUCUCGAUAUGUGACUGUUCAAACUAAAAAGUCAUUGAAAUCUAUGCUUUAUUUGAACUUUACAUGAUCUUUAUGUAAUUAUUUAUUUUACUUCAGCAUAUGGAGUCUUUCGCUCUGUGUCCGAAGCUCUUUUCACUGCUGUUCUUCCUGUCACCUGUUGCUCUUUUUCACCAUAAUGUGGUUUCUGUUUCACCUGGAACGUAGUACUGGCAGCGCUGUUUCAAUAACUUGUGUUGGGGAAUGUUUUUUAAUUAAUAAAUUAAUUAAUUUAU